AUACACAGCAGGCUGGAAUUGACUACACUGAGACUUAUUCACCUGUGGUUAAGAUGACUACAGUGAGAACAUUGAUAGCAUGUGCAGUGAAGAAAGGGUGGAACAUGUUUCAACUUGAUGUAAAUAAUGCAUUUCUUCAUGGAGAUCUUCAUGAAGAAGUUUACAUGAAACUACCUCCAGGACUUGAGGUACCUGAUUCAGG
rnacentral:misc_RNA from 1 species